GUGGUGUGUGAGGAUGCGGUUUUCAUGUCUUUCAUUCUGUGACCCUUUUUGUGUAUCUUCUGAUUAUCUCAGAAAACAAGACACCAGUUCCUGUUCUGCUCGCAUGUUCACUCAUUUAAGACCCUUCGGUGAUUGAAGGACCAACAUUGACAGCUGAGAUCCAGUCGGCUUUACAGAACCCAGCAGAUCCAACCAGGCUGACUUUCACCAUGAAGGGCAAAAUGUCUCUGCCUGUUCUCACAGUCUGGAUCCUUGUCGCUGUAUCUGCUGUCAAUUUGUUCCAAGGUGCUGCAGGCCGUUGUCAUGUUUGCCCACCUUGCUGUACCCAAGGGUCACUCAUGGUCAACGGGAAAAUCAUAAAAUGUUACGAACAAAAACCAGGACACGCCUGUCACAAACACUUCUAUAUGGUUGAAGUUGAAGGUGGUAAAGAACCACUUUGCAUCCACCCAAAAUCCCACUGGUUUAAAGAAAAGAUAGAAAAGAAAACCGUAACGUGCGUUCCAUCUGAUGCGUAGAACUCAUAAUGCUGCAGCAGAAACAAGACAAGAAAAAGCUUCAACUUCCCUUCUUUACUAACCGCUUCAAGAAAAAAAAUGAACAAUUUAAAAAAAGACUGCGCUUUGUAAAAAUUAGCGAUGCACCAAUCAGUCGGUCAGGGGUCAAAGAGUGACCAGUUUCCUUUGAGCAGCUCUGACCUGUGAUCACAAAGUUAAACAGUAAAUAAACAGAUUAUUUUUCCUGUAUCUUAACUGUAGCCAAACUGAAAAUACCAGAAUUUAUCGUUAUGUGAACCAUUGUUCACAGCAAGUUUGUUGAUGUGCCUCGUUUUAAAUGUAAUUAAAAGUUUGAUGAAUGAUCCUGGUUGGUGCAUCUCUAAAUAAAGUGUUUAAUAUGUUUGUAGGAUUAUAAGGUCCAGCAGAAUCUUCACCUUUAAGAAAAUAAAAUGCAUUCAUACAAACUGA